CUCCGGGGAUAACAGGCUGAUACCGCCCAAGAGUUCAUAUCGACGGCGGUGUUUGGCACCUCGAUGUCGGCUCAUCACAUCCUGGGGCUGAAGUAGGUCCCAAGGGUAUGGCUGUUCGCCAUUUAAAGUGGUACGCGAGCUGGGUUUAGAACGUCGUGAGACAGUUCGGUCCCUAUCUGCCGUGGGCGCUGGAGAAUUGAGGGGGGCUGCUCCUAGUACGAGAGGACCGGAGUGGACGCAUCACUGGUGUUCGGGUUGUCAUGCCAAUGGCACUGCCCGGUAGCUAAAUGCGGAAGAGAUAAGUGCUGAAAGCAUCUAAGCACGAAACUUGCCCCGAGAUGAGUUCUCCCUGACUCCUUGAGAGUCCUGAAGGAACGUUGAAGACGACGACGUUGAUAGGCCGGGUGUGUAAGCGCAGCGAUGCGUUGAGCUAACCGGUACUAAUGAACCGUGAGGCUUAACCUUACAACGCCGAAG
rnacentral:rRNA from 1 species